AUGGCUCAGAUUGAACGCUGGCGGCAGGCCUAACACAUGCAAGUCGAGCGGAAACAACAGCUAUUCUUUUUUUAAAAGGAUAAUUGGUUGUCGAGCGGCGGACGGGUGAGUAAUGCCUAGGAAGUUGCCCAGUAGAGGGGGAUAACCAUUGGAAACGAUGGCUAAUACCGCAUAAACUCUUUGGAGAAAAGCAGGGGACCUUUUAUAGGCCUUGCGCUAUUGGAUACGCCUAGGUGGGAUUAGCUAGUUGGUAAGGUAAUGGCUUACCAAGGCGACGAUCCCUAGCUGGUCUGAGAGGAUGAACAGCCACACUGGAACUGAGACACGGUCCAGACUCCUACGGGAGGCAGCAGUGGGGAAUAUUGCACAAUGGGCGCAAGCCUGAUGCAGCCAUGCCGCGUGUGUGAAGAAGGCCUUAGGGUUGUAAAGCACUUUCAGCAGUGAGGAAGAAUAUGCAUCUAAUACAUGUAUAUUUUGACGUUAACUGCACAAGAAGCACCGGCUAACUCCGUGCCAGCAGCCGCGGUAAUACGGAGGGUGCGAGCGUUAAUCGGAAUUACUGGGCGUAAAGCGCAUGUAGGUGGUUCGAUAAGUUAGAUGUGAAAGCCCGGGGCUUAACCUCGGAACUGCAUUUAAAACUGUCAGACUAGAGUACUAUAGAGGGGGGUGGAAUUUCAGGUGUAGCGGUGAAAUGCGUAGAGAUCUGAAGGAAUACCAGUGGCGAAGGCGACCCCCUGGAUAGAUACUGACACUCAGAUGCGAAAGCGUGGGGAGCAAACAGGAUUAGAUACCCUGGUAGUCCAUGCCGUAAACGAUGUCUACUUGGAGGUUGUGGCCUUGAGCUGUAGCUUUCGUAGUUAACGCGUUAAGUAGACCGCCUGGGGAGUACGGUCGCAAGAUUAAAACUCAAAUGAAUUGACGGGGGCCCGCACAAGCGGUGGAGCAUGUGGUUUAAUUCGAUGCAACGCGAAGAACCUUACCUACUUUUGACAUCCAAAGAAGCCAGUAGAGAUACAGGUGUGCCUUCGGGAACUUUGAGACAGGUGCUGCAUGGCUGUCGUCAGCUCGUGUUGUGAAAUGUUGGGUUAAGUCCCGCAACGAGCGCAACCCUUGUCCUUGUUUGCCAGCGAGUAAUGUCGGGAACUUCAAGGAGACUGCCGGUGAGAAACCGGAGGAAGGUGGGGACGACGUCAAGUCAUCAUGGCCCUUACGAGUAGGGCUACACACGUGCUACAAUGGUGUAUACAAAGGGUUGCCAACCAGUAAUGGUAAGCUAAUCCCCUAAAGUACAUCGUAGUCCGGAUUGGAGUCUGCAACUCGACUCCAUGAAGUCGGAAUCGCUAGUAAUCGUAGAUCAGCACGCUACGGUGAAUACGUUCCCGGGCCUUGUACACACCGCCCGUCACACCAUGGGAGUGGGUUGCAAAAGAAGUGGGUAG
rnacentral:rRNA from 1 species